AGAGAAAGAAGCGUCAGGGCCGCCACCGGGACCGCGCAGAACGGGGCAGGGGUGGCGGCGCCGCGGGCAGCGGCACUUACCGGGUUGAGGAGGGCGAGGAGGAGGGCUACGGCGAAGCUGGCAGGGGCCAUCCCGAGGCGGUCGUCGGCUUGUGGGCGGCGCGGCGUCGAGCAGGCAGCGGUGUCGGGUUGUCCGGCGGAGGGGCGGCGAGAUGCUCUCUAUGAAUAGAGAGAGUGCCUGUUUACUCAGAAAUAUUUGGCACGGCGGAUGGAGUCUGAAGUGUGGAAGAAGUGGCUAUUAUUUUCCCACUGCCUGUGUGCAGCUGUCAUUUCUAAGUGACACGUUCCUUGCACAUCCCGGCUUCCCAACCUGGCUGAUGGUCCGCCCUGGGGCUGCAACAAGAAGAGACUAGGAUGCCACUGCACUCAGCCAAAACCUUAACAUUGUGGCUGCCACAGGGGGGAGUAGAAGUUUGCAAAGGACUGUGCUGCCCAAGAAGACACGGAUGCGGGUGGUGUAUUCCAGUGUAUGCAUUCCUGCUGGUAUGUACCCGAAAAGGGAGGACCACGUUCCCAGGGAGAGGGUUUGUAGCCAUGGAUGAUCAGGAAACAUCUUGGUGAAUUACAGACAAUAAGAAAAGAUGAAGGCAGAAGAGAUAGUUUGCUGAUUUAAAAAAAAUACAUAUUCUAAGAAGGAAAUUGAAGUAUCUUGAGUCUACAACAGGUUAAUGAUUGGUCCAGAUGCACAUACAUGAGCACCAGUGUUGUUUUCACUGAGAACAGAGCUGUCAUGUUGCUUUGGUUGUGAGUGGAAAGUCACCAGAGAGUCCCUUUGACGUGAAGCUCUGAUUUGUGACUGUGUCCAGAAGCAAUGAACGCUGAAGGAACAGCCACCAACGUGCUGGGACUGGCUGCCCUGCCAUGUCUGGGAUUACUUUGCUGCAACAUGCUGUUGCUCAGUGCAAGAACAAGGCACUUCCAAGAAGUGAGCCUUGGGUGGGGAUGUGCAGGUCACUUCUCACUGCUGCCUCUGCUUCCUCUGAUUAUACUGUAACUCAUGGUAAACAUCUAGGCAUGACAACCUAAAGAUAGUAAAUUUUCAAGUUAGAGUCAGAACGCUUUCUGAACUUUAGAUACCUCUGAAAGCCUUGUAGACACCUGGCAAUGAGCCACUUCUUUGCCUGCAAAAGCUUGGUGAAACUGGAAAUCUAGCUAUCUAACACACUCUGUUUUAUGAGGUGAAAGUUAAUAAAAUAUUUUACUCUUUUCUUCAACCAAGGCAAGCUGAGAUGCACAAAAAUAAGUGCAUGCCAGUCCACUGCACAAGGAAGAAAAGUGUCUAGCAUUGUGUUCCUCGUUGCAGAAAGGCAGGAGAGCCAGAAAGUUUGUCACCAGGAUCCCUCACACGUGCUCUGAAGCUGCAACUGAAAUUUGUAAGCUACACAUAUGUAUUGCACAACUUCUGAAGACAGGUCCUCCAGAUGAUGUAAACCAAGUGAGUGACACAUGCUGAGGACACCAAUGUACAUUUACCUUUUUACACCUGAGAAGCCAGCUGGUCUGAACUGCCAUCACAGAAGCUGUGAAAGUUAGCCUGGGCUGUAUGCUGUGCUGUUCUGCUUGUCGAGAGCCAAACUAGGCUGUUUAAAUAACGCUUGUGAAUCUCUACACUGCCCUGCAUUCAUGGCCGAAACUGCACUAAGACACAUAUGCCUCAUUUUUUAAAUUGGCUUAGGUUCCAAAACACAAGGGUGCCUUAUAAAAUUUUCUGGCUUCCUGAUGUUCCUCUCCUCCUUGAACUCCCCUCCUCAGGUUUAGCUUCCCUCCUUCAAGCCCAGCAUUGCGCCCAAGCAAACACUCUGGUUAGAUCUAUGUGGGCAAGUGAAGGUGUCUGCCUCCAAUGGCAGCUUUCUGGUGGAUGUCGAGCAGCUGUUCCCCAUGUCCCAAAGGAUGUGACAGUUGGUGUGCAUGCACAAAAAUAUAUUGUUUCUCCUGUCAGAAGAAAAUACGGAAAGCUUAUAACUUAAGGAAAAAGGGAUCUAAGGGAGAUAAGAGUGUAAGAGACAUUGCUGCAGUUCUAUAUUUGAAAUCGGUUACGUAUAUGUGUGGUAACCCAAAUGAUGGGUGGACUGCACUUUUGCAUUACCAUAAUUACAUUUCCUUUCAUAGCAAGGGUUAGGGAUGCAUCCAGACAUUGCAGAACACAUCAGUAGAUUUAGUGUGGCUUACUCAGUUUCCAUUUAUCAGACUAUGUCCCAAUUAUGUUACAUUUAGGAAACAGAAUAAUUUUCUGGUUAUAGCACACAAAAUUUGUGGCAUUCUAAUCCUAGUCACCUUGCUGUAUGACCUUGGAAAAGUCGUUUUACUUUUCUUUGAUGGUAAAGAAUUAACUCACCCCGUGGAUGGAUUUUAAUACCAUGCUAAGUUUAAAAAAAAUCUGAAGCUAAAGUUAGUAUUCUAAAUCCAUAUUUAGGGACUAAAUGAGGUGAUUUGUUUUCCACGAUCCUGAGCACCCAGUAACUGUCUGCCACCAAGGCCAACUAGAGAUUUUGGGUCUUCAGCAGUCCGAAACAUGAAGCAAGAGUGAAAGCAGCUGCUUGUGUGAAGAUGAAGAGAAGCUCACUGAUGUGGUGUGGUGAGUCAGGGACAGCCGUCUGUCUUUCCUGGGUGGUUGUCACAGUGACAGCAGUGGGGAGAUGUAGGUGGGAUUAAUCUUGCUAAUUUUACCAUCUAUAAGUGGGAUGUCUGCCUUAGGCUGGUUGUUCAAGAUCUUUCCAGUGGUCGCCUUGGUUCAGUGGAUCUGGAGCAGCUCUCAGUGGGGACAGAUGAACAACCCCCAAUGUGUCAUCCUGCCCGUCUAUCUGGAGGUGCGAUGUAUUAUCCUCCAGAGAUACUCAUCUCUGUCCAUUCAGUAAAGCGCUUCACAAAUGCUUAGACAGCUUCCUUGGGCUCUGCUGACUGUGAAGUGAGCGAGUGACUUACGGUGUGUUAGGUAAGUCCAAGAGUGUGGCAGAAUUGCUUAUAGCAGUGGAGAGCAAUGAAACCCCAUAACAGGCCUAAGGAGUUUGGUUAUGAAAGUUAUGGACAAGUGAAAGUGGAGAGAAAUAGUUGAGUCUUGCAAGGAAAAGGAAAUAUAAACCUGACUGUAGUAGUUGAAAACCUAUUCCGUAUUGAUGGCAUGGUUUGUUUCCACUGGAGAGCUUUGUUCUUCUGGGCAGUGUUUGAGGAGGAAGAUUAAUUUUCCCACGGGAGAAAUAAGCUUUGAAUAAGUCAGCUAAAAUGGAUUGUUAUGUGCACCACACAUCUAUAGGAGAAACAGAAGACGUUUACAUGCUCCCUGAGGAGGAACCAUGACAAGCAGACAAUUAACCAAUUCCCCUGGAUCCCCAGAUUUAAAGAACCACGUAAUGGCUUAAUUGAGUUGAGUUGCUGAGAGUGCGGCACUGCACUGAGAUUCGUGCUGUGAAGUGCGCUAUUCCCAGAGGCAUCCAUCAGGUUUUAAAGAAUUGACUUUCCAUGCUAAUUGACCCAGAUGUGCUUGAUUUUACCUCACAAUCUCCACUUCAUUCAAUUACUGGUAAAGAGAAGGGAAUGAGAAAAAAGGACUUCAUUUGUCUCAUGUACUAUAUUAAAAGGAAGCUUUCCUCAAGCAACAUUUUGUAGUGCUGAACAAAUUGUUCAGCUUGAACUGGAGUGGCAUUUAUUCAAUUUUUAUUUUUUUUUUUUUUUUUUUUUUUUAUUUCCCGAAUGACUGAGCACGUAUUUUGCAAGGUCUAGAGAAUGUUCAUUAAGCCACUCUGCUUGGCAAAGGAAGCACAGGCAUCAUCACUAGAAGAAUGAGGACAGUACAGAUGGAUGGAUGAUGUCUGACCUGUCUGACCAGGCAGGGCUGAGCAGCACAGCGUGGGGGCUGAGCUCUCUCAUGGCUUGGUCCACCUGAAUGAUCAAUAAAUGAAUAAAUGAAAAAAAAAAUAAAUCACAGUUUAACUAUUUUUAUCUUCAAAAAGGCUAGGAGCCAAGUUUGAGGAAUAGGCUUUGCAAUGUGAAUUAGCAGCUGAACUCUUCCAUGUACUGGGCCAGUAGGCACCUCAUUUUGGCAAACUAUGGUUACCUUUUAUGUGUGUGUAAACAUCCCUAGAGCACGUAGAGUAAUUAGUGUAAGACUGAGGUUCCCAGUGUGUUCUGUGUGUGCAGAACCCCGGCUUUUGUUCAUUGUCAGUUCACAAGCCUUAUUUAAUUUACAAAUCAAGUAUCUUUGUGUGGUAGGGCCUGAGUCCACCUCUCUAGAUACAUUCCUGGAACACCACAGGAGGCUUUCUUAGGUAAGGAAGCUAUUCUCUACCUGGUUAGUGGUUUCAAGCUUACCUCGAACAGCACCAGCAAGAGUCAUGUCAAGGAGCUUUUGUUCAUUCACAUUCAAACAGGCUGUAUACUACUGAAAUUAGAGGAGUUAAUCUGAGUUUGCACCAUUGUUAGGGAAGCAGAAUUUAGCCCCUAAUGCUUGUGACUAGCCAUAUUUUGUACCAACCAGUCAAGUUAUGGAGCUCUGCUGUGAAAGGAACAUAUUCAAGGAGUUUACUUCUUUGACAAAAUUUGUAUGCCAUAUAUGGUCAGUUUGUGUUUUUGUUUUUUUUUUUUUUUUGACUUAAGAAGGCUCUCCUCCAAACUGCUGAAUCAUAUUGCAACCCUAGACCUGGUGAUUUUUCAGAAUUUGAAUCAUAGCUGAGCUCUCUAGAUAUCAAGCUGUGAAGCCACACGUGGGCUCAGCAGUUUGGCAGCCACUGAGUACAGCUUUGGCAGUAUUGUAUUCACAGUCCAGAUGUUGGAUGGUUCAGCCACAGUGUACAGCAUGAUAGAAUAGAGCAACAACGUGACUGAAAAUUACUGUUUACUCUUCUUAAUUUAAAUACCGUGGUUUGUACUGUUCUUGAUGAUUUAGCCUGGAUAUUAUGAACCAGUCUGCUUUAGAUCUGUAUCCCAUCCUAGAAGGAAGUCUCACAUAACAACCUGACAUGCAGUGUGAAACCUCUUCUGGAGGUUUUGUUCUUGCAUUCUUCCUGCCAAGGUCCCCUGUGAGAAGCUGUUCCAGUUAGGCCCACUUAUGAAGUCAUUUAGUGAUAUAUUCAGGAUUAAGAAAAAGCAUUACAGAAUCAUAGAAUAAUUGGGUUUGGAAGGGACCUUCAAAGCUCCUCUAGUCCAACCCACCUGCAAUGAGCAGGAACAUCUUCAACUAGAUCAGGUUGCUCAGUGCCCUAUCCAGACUGGCCUGGAAUGUUCCCAGGGAUGGGACAUCUACCACCUCUCUGGGCAACCUGGGCCAGUGUUUCUCCACCCUCACUGUAAAAAAUUUUUUCCUCAUGUCUAGCCUGAAUCUCCCUUCUAUUAGUUUAAAACCAUUACCCCUGUUGCAACACACCCUUCUAAAAAGUCUGUCCCCAUCUUUCUUAUAGGCCCCUUUUAAGUACCGAAAGGCUGCGAUAAGGUCUCCCUGGAGCUUUCUCUUCUCCAGGCCGAACAACCCCAACUGUCUAAGCCUGUCCUCAUAGGAGACGUGCUCCAGCCUUCUGAUUAUUUUUGUUGCCCUCCUUUGGACACUCUCCAACAGGUACAUGUUGUUCCUGUACUGAGGGCUCCAGAGCUGGAUGCAGGACUCCAGGUGGGUUCUCAUCAGAUCAGAGCAGAGGGGCAGAAUCACCUCCCUCGACCCACUGGCCACACUCCUUUUGACGUAGUCCAAGCUCCUUUUGAUGCAGCCCAAUAGUCCUGUGGCACUAGAAAUAAGAAAGUUAGGGUGGUAUCUGAGAUUUGUAAAUCAUGCUUUGCCUUAAUGUUCUGCUGUGCCCUUACAAGCUGCAGUGAUUAAUGCCUUAGCAAUAAUUAAGAAAGAUAGAGACAAUAUCUGUUAAAGCAGGAUUCUUCUUCAAAGCUGUGCUUCUGCAGACUCACUCACUUGUUGAGCUCCUUCCUGUAUGUGCUUCAUUUUAAAUAAUGUCCUAUAUUCAAGCAGUUGUUUUGACCAUGCUUGUGCACAUGAUAUGAGAAACUAAGGAGAGUCUUGACAGUUCAGUUUGUAUAUCAAUACUUCUUUGUGAGUAAAAUUCUUAGCCUGUCAAAAAAGCUACUGUUGUUUUGCAGGGCAUUUAAAAGAAAGAUCUUUAUUUUUUCACAGUGAGCACUAAAACUGAAAAGGAAUAAACAAUGAAUCACCUAGGACAAAUGAUUUUUUUAUGUCUGCAGAAAACACACUGACAAAAUUUUGGGUCUUUUUUUUUUUUUUUUUUUUGGAGAAUGACUGUGAGACACAUAGCAGCAAAUUGUUCAUUGGUUUGACCUUAUUUAUUUCAGCUAAAUCCCAAACUGGAGAACUAGACAGAAAUAAAAAUAGGGAACAUGUAUAAAGAGCACUUAUACAAUGCAAGAAGGUUCCUGUGAAAUUGUGAUUACUGAAGUUUCAUCCUUCAGGCAGGACUGAUGAUUCCCCUGUUGUGUUAAAACUGCAUCUUGAAGCUAAUAUAUCUGACAGUUUCCUUCCCUUGCCAACCAGUAAACUGAGACAGUUUUUGGGAAGAAGUAGCACUGGAGCUGAGGGGGACUUGUGCUGAAAUAGGAGAUACUGGAUAGGUGAGCAGGAGGCAACUUUUAUGUGCCAGUCUCGGUGCUGAGCAGAUAAACAGGAGGCUCAAAGGGGAAUAUUGUCCCUGAAGGAAGAAGGGAUUUAGGGACAGGGAGAAGGGAUGCAUGUUGGAAGGAAAAGGCUUCUUGGGGUCCAUGACAUGGAAAGGUGAAUAGUUCUGUUGUCUUGGUGUGGAGAAGACUCUUAAAAGAAAAUGAGAAGAGUGGCAGAAAAAUAUGAUGUAACCAAGACUAACACUAUCAAAGCAGCUUUUUAAACGCAUGUUACUUAUUAUUUCUGUCCUAUGCAGGAGCCCAGCAAAGAAUGAGUGAAAUCCCUGAAGACAGUCUGAGUAGUUGAGUCACACGUUUUGACAGAAGUUCAGGUCAGAGAUUGACUGUUCUGUUUCUGUAGGCCCUGCAGGAAGAUGAUUAUUGGCUGUUUUCCAGCAUAUUCAUGGCAAAAUAGCCUUUUCAACUAAAUGAAAUCAAGAGCUUUCUCCUCUCUCCCUGCUAGAAUACUUGUCCCAAGGAAGAGGAUAUAACUUCAAAGGAAAAUGAAAUGCAGAUACCAGAGCACGCUGUAUUUGUCACCUGUGGAAAAUCAGCCAGGGUAACAAACCAAUAACCAGAGACUGAAGCCAAGUAUCCCUAUCCCCUUUGGCUACAGCACAUAUAUAGACACUGCACACCCAAGUUAACUUCCGGAUAAAGGCAAUAUUGCUGCCUCUGCAUGGUGCUAUGCUUCAGGUAAUUAGCUUUUUUUUUUUUUUGCUAUGCUGCUUCCGGGGCCCAAGGGAUUAAGAUUAACAGGGGGGUACUCCAUACACUACACGCGGUGUAUAAAUUGUCACUUCCUCUCCCUUUGUCUGAAAGAGUCUGUCCUUCUGUUGCACAGGGUGUCUGAGCAGGUGAGAGGGCCCAUUCCUGUUAGUGGCUGGUUUGGGAACUUUCCAAAGAAAUAAGGAAGGGCAGUGCCCAUUUCUCCUAAUUUUGAAGGACAAAGGUGAGCAGCAGUCAACCACUUCCCAUGAAACUCUGACUGUCGACCAGACCACUGUCCUAGUGUCAUUUUUGCAAACAUGGCUGGACACCUCUGCUCUGUGUUGCAAUUUAAACUGUUUUCCUAGAUACUGGGGCUUUGGUGUGAAGAGGCAAAGGUGCCUUCCAGUAACUCUGAGUACAACAUGUGGGCCAUUGAGGACAGAGUUAAAAGCUGUGCCUGUCCUCAAGGUUGCCCUGUUUGCUGACUGGAGAGGCUCUCUACUCGGUGUCUGUCUCAGCAGCUCACAGGCAGGAUGCAAUUCCCCAUAGCCACCCCCUGUGCAGAGCCUGGUAGAAGAAGCCCAGCAUUGCAGGGCUGGGGACUGGCUUCUGAAACACCAGGCAUCCCUGCAGUGCCCAAUCUGAGUCACUUUCUGGAUGUAAACUUUUGCUCCUACUAAUGAGUAUAGACAAAAGACCUUCCUUCCAGGACUUAAGGGUAUCCAAAAGAUCCCAGGCUAUUUUUUAAGCAUUUGAGUGCUCUCAUCAAAACCAUGACAAAUUGCCAAACCAUUCUCAACGGUUCCCAAAUGUAAGUCUAGCCCCAGGUCUUAAAUCCUAUGGAAAAAAAGGCAUUUGUAUGGAGUUUAGCAUUUCCUGGGUCAGAAGUAUCCCAGAUUCUUUCUGCCUGUGGCCCUAGCUUCCAGAAGUUCAGAAAUGUGUGAAACUCAAAGCAAAUAUUAUUUUCCCCUGAUUUCCAUUUUGCUCUCCUUAGACAGUCAUGGCAUUUUUUUCUUGUAUCAGCUUGAAUUUAAUAGACAUUCAAGAAACAUUCAUUCUGUUGUUUUUCUUUUUUUUUUUUUCACUCUAACUUGCUUGCCAACACUCUAACAAUGCAAUAUGCACCUAGCUAAGAAACUUAGAUGAAUUACUAUACACUAGGAAGUACAUUUUUCAAAGGAGCGGGGGUGUUAGCUUCAGUUUUCUAGGCAAAUUCUCAUAUACGUAAUUACAUUCUGUCUACUGCAUUCCUCUGCCACCUCAAUUGCAUAUGGUGUUCUUCCUCAGUUUGUGCCCUGCAUUUUUGCUUGCAUUAUCAAGUACUAUUAAAUAUUUCUUGUUCACCAUCCCAGCAGUGACUUCAAUAUAGAGCCACUGGAAAAAUUGGUAGCAUAUUUUGUGGUGUUUACCAUCAAAAAUACUUGUCAGUCCAAAACUUUCAGAGUAAGAUGUGUUUUUAACCGUGACUAAGUAGUACAAUACUUGUGACAUAAGUCAGCAACACAAUUAGCUACAGUUGCUUUUAAAUGAGGAAUGUUUGAUGGUGACUUUGGUAUAUAGAAUCAUAGAAUCAUAGAGUAGUUUGGGCUGGAAAGGACCUUAAAGCUCAUCUAGUUCCAACCCCCUUGCCAUGGGCUCAGAGCCCUGUCCAACUUGGCCUUGAACAUGUCCAGGGAUGGGUCAUCCACAACUUCUCUGGGCAGCCUGUUCCAGGGCCUCAGCACCCUCCUGGUGAAGAAUGCAGCAAUUUAAGAGGAUUACUGUGGGUCAUCUGUACUGAUACCUUCAAACUGUGACCACUGUCUUACAAUGGAAGCUGACAAGUUAUGUUCGUGGGCGAAUUAGAGUGUGUCUCCUGUGAGCAGAGGAAGAAAAUGAUCAGGACCAUCCAGCUCACAGCAAAAAUCUGGAGAGGGGAGAUAAGAGCUGUUAUUUUGGUGUGUUCACAGUAGGUAUGAGCUGUUCACAGUGGUUGAAACAGCCCAGUACAUGACAGCUAUAAUAGCUAAUUCCAGGGAACUUUUCUACUACUCUGAUAAUCAGAGCAUUUAACAGCUCCCUGCCAGAAGUAAGUGUCUUUUAUACCCCACAUUUCGGCACAUUCAUUCAGUAAUGGCAGAACUGGGACCUGUGAAACUAGUGUUAGAAUGCUAAUUUUGGCUUUUCUUCAAUUUCACCAUAUUACAGAAAAAAAAGAAUCCCUUAAUUUGCAUGGUCCUUUUCUUGGAAACUCUCAGUCUUUAAUGCAUUCAGUGUAACAAACCAAUAUGACUGCUUCUUGCUUCAGCAAAAAUUAUGCCAGUUUCUUUGAUUUCACCCACCUAGAUCAUAACACCCUAGAAGCUAGCUCUUUGUGUCACAGGGGGGAAUGCCAGAGCUGGUGAUCAUGUAGAUGCUCUUGGGUCAAGACUACUGCUGUGCUGCCUUCCAGGACCACCUGCUGUCUGGCUACAGGGGAGCUGAGGUCAGUGCAGAUCUGGGGAAAGCCACCCUCCAAAACCUGAACUGUGAUAACUUAGUGACUAAACCACACCAAGUUCCUCACUUGGAGAAGGAGAAGAGUUUUUGUGGGAAGAGAAAAAAGCAAGGAAAGGCAAGAACAUUUUAUCUAAGAUCUGUAGUUAAUGGACAAACUGCCGAAUAUGCAAAGAAUUUACAGCCCAGAUGCAGGAAAUUCAGUUAAACAAGUGACCUGACACAGAUGCUGGAAAACUAUAAUUAUGAAUUAUCUGACCUUAUUCUGUGUGUUUUCUGUAGUGGAAAUUUCUUUGGUAUCUCUGAAAUGCAGUGGGCUGUUUUCUCUUGGUUGAGCAGCAAUGGCAUGACUGGGAAGCAGUGGAAAAGCUCACAUUGAAGAGAUAACUGUAACAUUUGUUUUUGUCUUUAUUCCCCUACCAGUCUUUGGGUUUGUUUAAUAGCUGGCUUAUUUUGUUUGAUACAUGAUGCUGUUAUAUGCCCAUACCAGGAAAGAAAGAGUGGCAGUCAUUGGCGAGCACUUCCAUAAUGGAGCUGGGUGACGGAGGAAGCUGAGGGUUCCUUUGGGGUAAAGAAAAGGACCCCAAGUCUGAACCAUCCAAACUUUUAAAAGGAUACAGAAUUUUGAUGGGUUUUGACUAAAAAAAUUUCAUUGCCUCGAAAUAUUAAAGUCUGCCGGCUAGCAGCUCAGCUGCCAGGUGGUGUAUACUUACAGAUACUACAGCCCUCCUGAUUGUUUUCCUUGCUGCUGCUUCUUUUUUCCUGAAGGAGAUACCAGAGCUCAUAUUGACAAUCUCUAUACACUAAUGGCUUCAGAAACCAAUCUGAGCAACAGUUUUUGAACUGUGAGACAGAAUAUUUUUCUUAAGUGCGUAUUCAAUUCAGAAAUAUUUAUGACUCUUUUUCUUAGUCUUUUUGAUUUACAAAUAUUAUCUAUUCUGCUACUUUGAAGUGAGCAGAACAGAUGUUCUGCUACCUGGAACAUUUUCAUGUACUUAGGGAAUGCAGGAAAAAACAAGGAAAAAAUAUCAGAAAGAAUUUUUUUUUAUGUUUUCUGGAGUUGCACCAUAAGUCUCACACAGCAAACAUACUGAGUUUGUAAAGUUGCUAAGCUUCAUCUAUAUGUCUCCAGUUUUUUAGUAUUCCUUGAACAAUGUUUGCACUAGUGGAUUUCACAAGUGUGUUGCUUCACAAUUGCUUCAUGUCUCGUAAAUCAAAUGUCUUUUCAGUUUCUCUUAGCUGGGAGUUGUGGAUUAUAGACAUGUCCUCUAACUACCAUUGUUUCUUGCUUGACAAAUGCCUGGAAAGUGGUACUAUUUGUUUUGUGAAAGAAGGUUAUUUCAAUCAAGAAGCCAAGGAACAGCUCUCACUUCUUGUUUUUUGCUUUGAGUGCUGCUGAGAAGAACAUUCACUUUUUUGGGGACCAAAAGUGUAAGUAUUGUGUCGCCCUUUUUACUGCUUAUUUUUUCCUGGUAGGCUCAGCCUAUUUUGGUUCAGUUGAAUGUUUAUAUGCAUACAGAUGGAAGCUGGCAAUCUCUCAUCAGAUUUGAAUUCAAGAAGGAGUAAGUCCUGUACUUUGCAGGUUUUUUGCUUUCCUUUCCAGAAGAAAUCUCAUAAAACAAGGUCUUCAGCCUCUCAUCACCCCCUGAAAGUCCCCAGGGCUGUGGAGCACACAGGCAGCAGACCAGGAGGUUCCUCAUUCUCUUGACAUUUCAUCAGGAGCGGAAAUGUCAAUAAAUGUGUGUAUGAAGCAGUAGAAUGAACAGUGGUUUAACAGAAAUACAUGAUGUAAAUCUAUGAAGACCCCAUUCCUACAAGGAGACAGUGGUGUUGUGAUCACCAGUGUGAUUAGCAGAAAGAAGCAUAAGGCUGUUGCCCCAGUGACAAAAUUAUAGCACUACUUGGCCAGCAGACAUGAAGGUUGUGUCAUUGCAUUGGGAGAGGAUACUGGGUUGUUGGCCAUCACUCACAGGGUGUUGGGAACAUCCCUGCCUUUGUUGUGGCUGUCAGCCUUGACACCAGACCUGGUGAGGGGACUUGAGGAAGUCGGAGAGUUAUGUGAGACGUUGAGGCUGGACCUCCAGAGGUGGCUGUACAGUUCCACUGGGAGAAGAGCCUCUACUCCAUGCUUCACCCUCUAAGAGUGCAUUCUGUGAUGGCUUGCCUUCUUUGUGCUUGCCUGGUGUGUGGCUGUUACUUAAGCUUGCUGAAGUGCUCUGUGUGUUUUUGUAGGAUCAUAGGAUAGUUUGGGUUGGAAGUGACCUUCAAAGGUCAUCUAGUCCAACUCCCCUGCAAUGAGCAGGGACAUCUUGAACUAGAUUAAGUUGGUCAGAGCCCCGUCCAGCCUGGCCUGGAAUGUCACCAGGGAUGGGGCAUCUACCACCUCUCUGGGCAACCUGUGCCAGUGUUUCACCAACCUCAUUGUAAAAAAGUUCUUCCUUGUAUCUAGUCUGAAUCUACCAUUUUUUAGUUUAAAACAUGUACCCCUUGUCCUAUCACAACAUGCCCUGAUAAAAAGUCUGUCCCCACCUUUCUUAUAGGCUCAUUGUAAGUACUGAAAGCCACAAGAAGGUCUCCUCAGACCCUCCUCCAGAUUGAACAAUCCCAACUCUCUCAGGCUGUUCUCAUAAGAGAGGUGUUCCAGACCUCUGACCAUCUUGGUGGCCUCCUCUGGCCCCUCUCCAACAGGCCCAUGUCGUUCCUGUACUGAGGAUCCCAGAGCUGGUUGCAGUACUCCAGGUAGGGGGUCUCAUCAGCGUGGAGUAGGGGGGCAGAAUCACCUCCCUCGAUGUGCUCACCCAGCUGCCCUUUGCUUGGCAACAAUGGACAUUUCCCCUUUUUACAACGAAGGGAAAGAUUAACUUGAAAUUUUGGAAAAAGAAAAGUAAUUAUUUCAUCUAAUAAAUAAAGGUCCUGUAGGUGACUGAGAGGUUCCCUUGCCAUGCCGACCUCCCUCCCUGCAGAGGAGGGAGGAGAAAGUGGAUUCAUGUGAUGAGUUUGGCUAAUACCAGAAAAGAAAAAUUCUCUGUGGUCUUCCAAAAAGAGAGAAGAAAGAAAAUCCCAUACCAUAAGGCAUUUCUUUUUUUUUUCUCCUGCAUUAUAAAGGAGAAUCUAGAUACAAUUUAAAUCUAAACCAAAUAGUGAUCUGAUUCUUAAUGUAAUUCAGCUCUUUGAACAGACAGGGAACUUUAUGCAACAUCGAUAGCUUGGUUAUUCUUCAGGCAUCAAUGGGCCUCUGUAGGGGUUUGGCCUGGACAUGCUCGAUUACCUCGUAUCCCAAGAGCCGCUGUUCCACUGACAUCUGGGUGAACACAAGUGUUUCAGAAGCAGUGGUCUGUCUGCACACACACGUGGCUACCUGGGUGCAGCUAUAUGGCCAUUGGCUCAGUGGUGACCCUGGAGCUCUGAAAUGCUGCUCUUGCAUUAGGCUCGGCUUUCAAGAGCUCAUUUAACUACCAGGUAUCACGGUACAUGGGAGAUGCAAAGCCAGGCCAUUCUGCUUGCAGGGAGGCUUACACAGGAGGUGUUAAGCACCAUUGCUAUAUGGGUUUUUCUCAAGGAGCCUUCUCCUGGCCCAACAAGCCUGCUGUAGGACAAUACCUCAAUUUAGUUGCACAAAGUUGCUCUUGUAUAGGCAGAUCAAGACCUUAGCCUCCUUGUGCUUUUCUGAGGUCUGUGCCAUUAGUUGCUUUCCAUCUCUCCUUUCACAGACAUUUAGAGACGUCUUGUAGUGCUGCUGUUUUUCCAAUAAAUUAUUCUCCUUUUAAAAAUAUACUUCACUGCAAUCUAAAAGCCAGAUGAGCCAAGGUUUUAUUAGAAUUACUGACUAUCAGAUGAGACGUGAUAAAGAGAAUUGACUUGAUAAUAGAAUGAUUUUUUUUUUUCUUUUUAAAAAGAUCAUUUUACAAGAUGGAGACUAGGGGUGGGGAGGGAGGGGAGAAUUAAGUUUAGGACUUAAUUCCUCCAUGCUCAACAGCCUCAUUUACAGGAAGAAUACAACAAAUCUCUUGUUUUUGCAGUACAAGGGCUUUAUACAGGUAAACAUGUUAAGAAUGUUGCCUGUAGUGUUUGCCCAGCUAGACCAUAAAGAAUUCCUGUGAGCAGGGGUAGCGAGAGCCAUUGCGCAGCCCUGCCGAGCUCUGCUGUCCUCCUGCCUCCAUCUGCCCCCAUGCCAGGGAGGGAGGCUGCUGGAGUCGUACUAUUUCUGUGAAGCCAUCCAGCACGUUUAUUCUGAGUACAGACACAGUGGUCUUCCAUUUUGCAAUUACAGAAACAAGGAUAUCCUGUUGAGCUUUUUCGCUUUCCUCCCUUCCCCGCUGCCACCGCUUGGUAUGACUGUAGGGAAUAUAAAUGGAACAGGAAAUUUGACCGCGUCCAGGAUCAAUGUCAUUAAAGACAGGUCUUGUUUUAAAAUCUAAUUUUAUAUAACUGCUCCGUUAUAUAAUAUGCUUUUGUUUGUCGUCUUGAUUUUUAUCGAGGUAGUGUACAUUCCCCUGGACCUUUUCAUGAAGGAAUGUUUAUACCUGUGGGCAAGCGCUAAUGGCAGUGAAAGGCUUGCAUUCAUGGGAACAGCAUUUAGCAAUUCAUGGUUGCCAAGAUGACUCAAACUAUUACAAUUGCCUGACGAAGUGACAAUUCAUGGAGUGUAACCGAGUAAUACAGGACCUGCUGGUUGUAAUAUGUCUUUUAUAUCGGGUGGAGUUCCUGCAGUUCCUGGAGUUGUUACAAAGGGGAGAUGCCUCCUGGAACCUUUUUGCAACAUGUUGAACAGGCUCGAAUCUGACAUUAGAACAUUUUCACUCAGAAUAGAGGCAAACUGUAAGCAGAGCUUUCUGUAUCUUCAGGUGUGCAGCACAUGCCUCACGUUUCAUGUAUAUAAGGUUGAAUAUGACUUCCAGUCACUGAGACCAGAAUGAGAAUAUUCUUUCAUGCUUCCUACUGGUAUUAUAUGGUCAACUUUAAGGAAGGCACGCUGGGAAAUAUUUGAAAGAUCCCUGGAGAAAGAGGCAGAAUGGCUCCUCAAACCUUCACGAGCCUUUGCUCCAAAGAAGCUCUAGCAACAAUUGUGCCGUUCUGGCAGGAAACAAGGAACAAUUUUUCUUUCUGUUCUUGAACCUUUUCUUCAGAAAAAGACAAGAACCUGGGAAAAUGAAAGGUCUCAGACUCUAGACCUCCUGUGGCCAGCACACAGCAGAGUUUUCUCUGCACACCACGAUCUGGGAUAUGCCACCAAGCAACACUUGCAGCCUUACGGGAAAAUGGAAAAUAUGCUACAAAUACAACAGUCUUUGUCAAGAAUUUCUGCUUUCCAGAGAGGUUUGACAAUCCUGCCUCAGCACCAGCUGGUGUGUGCCAGGCAGGCUGGCUGGGAAUAUUGGUGGAAACAUGGGCAAGGGCCAUGUCAAAUCUCUUCAGUCCUGUGCUUGGCCUUCUGGCAUCCCGUGUGGAAGUGAAGCGGUGUGGAGGCCUGAAGCAGUGAUUUCCCCUGGAGGUUCAAGUGCUGGGCAGCUGGUCUGUCAAAGUCCUGAAGUCAGCUUGUACAGAUUUGGCGGGUGCACUGACUAUUUUGGUGACCUCUUGGGCUUUCUUAGCAGUAUAAGGAAAUGAAGGAUCUGUUGCACAUACAGGAGAAAUCAUAUGCAUUUGUUCUAAACUUUCAAUCUGAGGCUAUUAACAUAGACACUUUGACCUCUAGAGGGAGAGCAGUAAGAAACAGAAGAGUGGUAUUUUUAUAUCACUUCACCCCCAGGAACCUCAGGCUCCACAACCUCAGGCUCCUUCUUGGUACAUCAUUCCCUCCACUUAAUAAAUUGUAUUUUUUUUUUAAUGUUGGGCAAUAUCAAAAUGCUGGGACAGCAAAAAAAGAAAAGCCUCAAACUAUUCCAAAAGCUGUUGUAGUCUUAAAAAACUGAGUACUAGACUAGAUAAUGUAGUGUGCUUGGUAGUUCCCUUUAGCUGUGAUAGACAUAUAUAGUUAUGUGCACACUGGCUGUCACUAGCAAUCGCGUUACCUCCAAAGCAAAAAAAAAUAAUCAUCCAUUUACUCAAAUCUGUUCUAAAUAAUGAUCCUGAACUAAUGAUAAUAAACCCAGUUCUACAGGCA